GAGUUUGAUCCUGGCUCAGGAUGAACGCUGGCGGCGCGCUUAACACAUGCAAGUCGAACGAAGCACUCUUUUAGAUUUCCUUCGGGGAAGAAGAAAUUGUGACUGAGUGGCGGACGGGUGAGUAACGCGUGGGCAACCUGCCCCAUACAGGGGGAUAACAGCCGGAAACGGCUGCUAAAACCGCAUAAGCGCACAAGGGCUGCAUGGCCUGGUGUGAAAAACUCCGGUGGUAUGGGAUGGGCCCGCGUCUGAUUAGCUAGUUGGCGGGGGAGAGGCCCACCAAGGCGACGAUCAGUAGCCGACCUGAGAGGGUGGCCGGCCACAUUGGGACUGAGACACGGCCCAAACUCCUACGGGAGGCAGCAGUGGGGAAUAUUGCACAAUGGGGGAAACCCUGAUGCAGCGACGCCGCGUGAGCGAAGAAGUAUUUCGGUAUGUAAAGCUCUAUCAGCAGGGAAGAAAAAUGACGGUACCUGAGUAAGAAGCACCGGCUAAAUACGUGCCAGCAGCCGCGGUAAUACGUAUGGUGCAAGCGUUAUCCGGAUUUACUGGGUGUAAAGGGAGCGCAGGCGGUGCGGCAAGUCUGAUGUGAA
rnacentral:rRNA from 1 species